CACGUAGGGGCGAGCGUUGUUCGGAAUCAUUGGGCGUAAAGGGUGCGCAGGCGGCCGUCCAAGUCUGGUGUGAAAUACCCCGGCCCAACCGGGGGGACGCGCUGGAAACUGGAUGGCUUGAGUACAGGAGGGGGAGUCGGAAUUCCAGGUGUAGGGGUGAAAUCUGUAGAUAUCUGGAAGAACACCGGUGGCGAAGGCGGACUCCUGGCCAUGUACUGACGCUGAGGCACGAAGGCGUGGGGAGCAAACAGGUUUAGAUACCCGUGUAGUCCCUGAGCGGGCUGG
rnacentral:rRNA from 1 species